UACGUAGGUGGCAAGCGUUGUCCGGAUUACUGGGCGUAAAGAGCGCGCAGGCGGUCGGAUCAGUCGAAUGUGAAAGCCCCCGGCUCAACUGGGGAGGGUCAUUCGAUACUGUCCGACUCGAAGGCAGGAGAGGGAAGCGGAAUUCCCGGUGUAGUGGUGAAAUGCGUAGAUAUCAGGAGGAACACCGGUGGCGAAGGCGGAUCUCUGGGCCAUUACUGACGCUGAGGAGCGAAAGCGUGGGGAGCGAACAGG
rnacentral:rRNA from 1 species